rnacentral:snRNA from 1 species
AGCCAUGUGGUGAGCACAAAGCGAACUAUUCUUUCGCCUUUUACUAAAGAAUACCGUGUGCUCUCCACGCUAAGUGGCAUACGCCUAUUUUUGGAGGGAUCUCACCUAACCGUGAGAC